UGAAACUCAAAGGAAUUGACGGGGGCCCGCACAAGCGGUGGAGCAUGUGGUUUAAUUCGAUGCUACGCGAAGAACCUUACCAGGUCUUGACAUCUUCUGCCAACCUAAGAGAUUAGGCGUUCCCUUCGGGGACAGAAUGACAGGUGGUGCAUGGUUGUCGUCAGCUCGUGUCGUGAGAUGUUGGGUUAAGUCCCGCAACGAGCGCAACCCUUAUUGUUAGUUGCCAGCAUUCAGUUGGGCACUCUAGCAAGACUGCCGGUGACAAACCGGAGGAAGGUGGGGAUGACGUCAAAUCAUCAUGCCCCUUAUGACCUGGGCUACACACGUGCUACAAUGGACGGUACAACGAGUCGCGAAACCGCGAGGUCAAGCUAAUCUCUUAAAGCCGUUCUCAGUUCGGAUUGUAGGCUGCAACUCGCCUACAUGAAGUUGGAAUCGCUAGUAAUCGUGGAUCAGCAUGCCACGGUGAAUACGUUCCCGGGCCUUGUACACACCGCCCGUCACACCAUGAGAGUUUGUAACACCCAAAGCCGGUGAGGUAACCUUCGGGGACCAGCCGUCUAAGGUGGGACAGAUGAUUAGGGNGAAGUCGUAACAAGG
rnacentral:rRNA from 1 species